AACGCGAAGAACCUUACCUACCCUUGACAUGGAUAGAAUCCCGAAGAGAUUUGGGAGUGCUCGAAAGAGAACCAUCACACAGGUGCUGCAUGGCUGUCGUCAGCUCGUGUCGUGAGAUGUUGGGUUAAGUCCCGCAACGAGCGCAACCCUUGUCAUUAGUUGCUACGAAAGGGCACUCUAAUGAGACUGCCGGUGACAAACCGGAGGAAGGUGGGGAUGACGUCAAGUCCUCAUGGCCCUUAUGGGUAGGGCUUCACACGUCAUACAAUGGUACAUCAGAGGGCCCCCAACCCGCGAGGGGGAGCUAAUCCCCGAACGGUUCUAGUCCGGAUUGGAGUCUGCAACUCGACUCCAUGAAGUUGGAAUCGCUAGUAAUCGCGGAUCAGACAGUUGCGG
rnacentral:rRNA from 1 species